CCUGCUCUUAUAUUCAAAUCUUUUUGCUAUGAAUGCUAACAUACCAUUCGCCUUCUUCACUGCCUGCUGCAUCUGCAUGCCUACUUUUAAUGACUGGUGUACCAUAACACCCAGGUCUCGUUGCAUCUCCUCCUUUCCUAAUCGGCCACGGCCCAUGGCUGAUCAUCCAACUCAGUAUCCUGUACCUGCCUUCUCUCCAUACCCCCUGAUCCCUUUAGCCACAAGGGCCACAUCUAACUCCCCCUUAAAUAUAGCCAAUGAACUGGCCUCAACUACCUUCUGUGGCAGAGAAUUCCACAGAUUCACCACUUUCUGUGUGAAGAAUGUUUUUCUCAUCUCAGUCCUAAAAGACUUCCCUCUUAUCCUUUCAUGCCUUCAGUCCUGAACCCUAAUUUAAACUUACGUGUCUCCUGAAUUUGUUCGUGCAGCAAGUCAUAAAUUUGAUGUAUCAAAUUAAACAUUUCCCAGAAAAUUUGAUUUUUAUUUCACUCUUCUGAGUAAGCAUCGCACUAUAUAAGCCAGUUGCUUAAAUGGUCAUUAUAAGCCACUUGAACUCUGCUUCGCUUUUUAAAUAUAUGCCUUGUUGUCCUCGUACACAAGUACUAAAUUAAAUAGACACAAGGAACUGCAGAUGCUGGUUUACAUUUUUUUUAAAUCACACAGUAUUGGAGCAACUCAGCAGGUCAGGCAGCUCUGGAGAACAUGGUUAGGCCACAUCCAGUGAAUGAUUUGGGUCAGGACCCUUCUUCAGAUGGAAGGGUUCCAAAUUGAAAUGUCUGCCUAUCCAUGUCUUCCAGAGAUGCUGCCUGACUCGCUGAUUUACUCCAGCACUUUGUGUCAUCUAAAUUGUGUUACAAUAAACCAUAUAACAAUUACAGCACGGAAACUGGCCAUCUCGACCCUUCUAGUCCGUGCCGAACACAUAAUCUCCCCUAGUCCCAUAUACCUGCGCUCAGACCAUAACCUUCCAUUCCCUUCCCGUCCAUAUAACUAUCCAAAGAUAAAGAAACAUAGAAAAUAGGUGCAGAAGGAGGCCCUUCUAGCCAGCACCGCCAUUCAUUGCGAUCAUGGCAUUGCGAUCGUCCCCUAUCAAUAACUCGUGCCUGCCUUCUCCCCGUAUCCCUUGACUCCACUAGCCCCUAGAGCUCUAUCUUGUACCCUCUGACAGCAAUGCACAUCUUUGUAGCACACUGGGGAAGCAAUCAUUUUUAUUAUAUGUCAGCAGACAUUUUAGAUUGUAUUGUGAUUACCACUUUGCAAUCUAAAGAACAAAUUCUGAUGUCCCAGAUAACAAACCUAGAUUGGUAGGAUUAAUUCCAGGAAAUAGUUGCCAAUGUAUAUUAAAUUACUGAUUUGGAAAGCUUUGGAGCUGGUGCAGAAUGGAGGAAAUUGCAUUAAUCCUUCCUCCUCCUCCUUUUCCCCAACCCCCAAAUCCCUUCAACAUGAAUCACUUUUGUUUGGAAUUAAAUUUGAAGAUGUUCUUGUUAACCCAGAUUAAUUCACUAUUGGAAUGUGGAAGGGCAGGUUUUUUUUUCUCUGGGUGUGGAUGCAGCUGCCAGAUCCAUUAUAUAGGCACAACGAACUGCUGAUACUGGUUCACAAAAAAACCCACCUGAAAUGCUGAAUUACUCCAGCUUUUUGUGUCUGUCUUCAAAGAAAACCUUUCUCUGCGGUUAUUCACAAAUCAAUUGAGUUUAUUCUUGCCAACCUGCUGUAAAGUCUUUCUGCCCUAAAGGGCCUGUCCCACUGUACGGGGUAAUUCAAGAGUUCUCCCAAGUUUCCCCUGAUUCGAACUCGAAGAAUUACGGUAAUAGCCGCUCGUAGGUACUCGGGGGGGGGGGCUCUCGUGGACAUUUUUCACAGUGCUGAAAAAACGUAUAGUUACCGCGUUUCCCGAGUACCUGCUGUUAGCAUUACGAGCCGCUAUGAGACAUCCCCGAGCUCCGACGUACCUGCUAUGUACUUACCACGAGUUUGAUUUUUUUUAAACUCAGGAGAGCUCUUGAAUUACCUCGUACAGUGGGACAAGCCCUUAAGACUUCCCUGCAAACUGCUUCUUCCAACAAGCCACGCUGACUCGUUUGUUCUUACAUCUUUCUCCUGUGUAAAAAUGCUUGCCUCCAACAGCCGCUCCCGGAGUUUGGAUUAAGAGUGCUCUAAACUGACACUGAAUGUAUAAAACACCCUGCAGCAUGUUGAAGCUUGAGCUCCUGUUCAAGAAAAAUGCUGACAUCUUCCUUCCAACACGUUGAUUGUAAAGUUAGCAUUGUUUUCAGAGCAACAAAAAUACAAGCCGAAUAAAUGUAAUGAUAAAAUGCAGAUUGACGUGUGACUUUGAAGAAAAUGUUCUUUUGUAAAUCCUGCGCAAAUAAUAGAUUUUGGCACAAUUUUAAAGAUUUAUGAAUAAUAAAGAUUUUUUUCGUAGA